GCAGAAUGUGUCACACUUGGUCCAAGCACUGGGAACCAGAGAAUUGAACGAUGGUGGUCCACCUUGAGAAGCCAGUGCAUACAGUUUUGGAUGGAUCAUUUUGACCAACUAAAAGAAGAUGGACACUUUGUUGACACUUUUAUUGAUAAAUCUCUUAUCCAGUUUUGCUUCCUGCAUUUCAUUCAGGAAGAGCUAGAUGAAACGGUCAGUGCCUGGAAUAGCCACAGGAUACGGCCAACUCACAAUCCACGUGCCCCCAGUGGUCGACCUUCAAUCAUGUUUGCUGUUCCCAUCUUAUAUGGUGUGCAGAAUUACUUGCAUCCAGUUGCAGAAAUGAAACUGAGUAUUUGCCAGGAGGAGUGUUUAUUUAAAGACUAUCCUUGUGAUGAAGAUGUCUUUCAACUAUGUGUAGAACUCAUGGCUGAGCAUAACCUUGUCAUGCCAGAUGAUGUUUAUGAAAUUACAGACCUUUACCUCCAACUUCGUGAACUGAUCCUUCAAGGACUGGACUUGGAGGACUAGAAAAUUAGGGAACCUCAAAGUUCUGAAAGGAAAAGGAAUGGCCUCAAGCUGGCUAGCUGUGCUAAUUAAGGAGUCACAACCAUUCACGAGGCAACAAACAGUAUUGAUGGCUGAACUAAGAAAAAUUACACCAUUCUUGUACAUCUGGAUAUAAACAUGGCAUCAGUCAUCAUCUCAAGAGGAUAGAGAGGAUGAACUCGAGAGCUCCAGAUUAGAGGCUCCAUUGUCCUUGUUCAGUGACAAGCAGAUCAAGGACAUCACACCAAAUCAAGAGUAUCUAAGACACAAUUAAACAAUACCAACUGUACCAACUCCAUGUACCAAUACCAACUCCAUUUCAACUGGGGAUCCUGGUUCAUAUGCUGUGGACAUAAUUAGACUCCAAGCUCCAUGAGCCUACUGUAAGUAUCCAGUAAGUAUCGCUUUAUAAUAUUAAGGUUGAAAGGUAAUUUAAGAACAGUUCAAAGCCAUUUGACUACAGGCAACAUGAACAAUUUGUAUGGUUUAUUGUAGGUUGCACCUAAACAAUGGGGAUAUUUCACAAUUAAAAGUCUGUAUAAAAAAAAAAAAAAUCUCCCAAAAAAAUAAAUAAAUAAAUAAAUAAAAUGGAUGUCCAACAUAACCAGCAACAAUGAUUAAAUUGGACAAACUAAAGUGAAUGGUUUAUGCAUACAGUAUAUCCGUUUAAAUGGAAAGGGGAAAAAAGUACAUUACAUAAAAUGUAUGAGGAUGGUCCUAUUAAAACAUUAUAACAAACAAUGUAAUUAAAGUAGUAACAAGAAAAACAUACCCAGCAUCAAGUGAACAAAUUAAAGUAAUUUUUACUUUAUGCAUGCAUGCGUAUGAUAAAUGUAAGUGUAUGUAAAUUUUACUAUGUUCAGGCCAUGAAAAACAGGUACCAUGAGUGCUGGUCAUAAAUCAUUUCCGCCACUAAAUGAUGUCCAUGACCCAGACAUUGCUUUCUAGGACUUUAUUCAUUUCCGAUCUGAAAUCUGGGUAAUUGUCAUAGUGCACUGAAAGCCUCAGGAAACAGCCACAGGUGUGUGCCACUGGUCUUCUCUCGAACCCUUUAAGGUCUGUGAAAUCAACUGUUAUAGUUUUGCCUAUAAACAAAUCUGAUCCGGUACAGAAUCUCAGAAACGGAGACUGUCGUUUUGCAUCACACUCCCGCAAGUAAGCUGACAAAUGCUUUGAAAUGUCCUUCUGGUGUGUAUUCAUUGUUUCGGGGAAUUUGAGAGAGCUAACAAUUUUUCUCACUGUUGGCUGUAGUGCACUAUACACAUCUUCAAUUUCCCCAAGGUCCUUGCGCAGAGGUCCAAGUAUGCUUGUCCACUGUUCAAGAACAUAAGCAGGCUCUUGAAUCAAAGUCUUGUGUGCCAGUUCUUGCAAAAUUUGCGUGAAGUUUUCUUCAGUAGGAAUUCUCCGACAACUGUAGUUGUCCAAGAUCUCAAGCAAUUCGUCCUGGUCUGCACUACAGAAGUCUGUUCUGCAGCCUUCUAAAACAACACGCUCAUUUUCCGAGACAUACUUCAAAAAGUUGUCAGUCAGAUCACUUUUUACAGAUCCUUGUAUUGCUUGCUCGAAGAUGACAGGUGCAAGUUUGAUUGGGAGAUAUUUCUCUUUCUUCCAGCCAAACAGAAUUAUUCGGGCAACACUUUCCCACUUUUCUUUCCCAAAAUCAUGACGAAGAAAGGGAACUUUAAAACAGUUCCCAAGUGUGCACUGACCAUAAAAUUCUUGCCAAAAUUCUGACAGGCAAUCCCUGAACACUCCACCGACGUCAUGGCCCAUCUCAAACUGCCCAUUUGGCAGGAGUAACUUCACUUCUACUUCAGUUUGUGCAUGUUCCAGUGUAUCAUCACAGAAAUGUGCAAGGAGUUCAGAAAAUAUCUGUCCACGAUGAACAACAAGAAUUUUUUUGUAUGGAACAGGGGGUUCUGGGCUUAGAGGCAAAGUGUCAUCUAAGAUUUGUUCAUCUAGUCCAGUGAGGUUUCCAGUGAAUCCGGUCACUACAUCGCUUGUAUCCAAAUCAUCUGGUGAGAUCAGUGAAGAACUUUGAAAAGGAACAUUCAGAUCAUCGGAAUCCUGCAGGUCCUCUGUGGAACGUAAGGGAGACACAUCAUCACUGUAUGCACUUUCCACAAAAAUUACAUCAGUGUCUGAAGCU